UUUCAAUGCGUAUUAGAGUUGAUUAAGGCGCAUUAAUUUUGCUCGUCUGUCAGGGCUAUAACUAUUCUAAAGGAAGAAAUUUGUAACUUGAUUCAGUGGUAACUCUAAUUUAUAUUCAAAUGUCAAAAAGUCUCCCAAGAUGGAGAAAAAUAAUUUGUGGAUAACUGGGUCCCCGAUUGUUAAACAUGGAGACUAAAACAAAACUGUAACAUUUAGGAGAAUGAAAAAUUGUUUACCGAUAAAUAUUGUUUAAUUAAGCAUCUGUAUAUAUGCAUCAGCGUAUGGAUUGAUUUGAGCAUAUUUUUAAAGAACAUUUUACAUCAUAUUCCUUAGCCGAAAAUUUAUAUGGGACCUUUAUCAACAAUCGAGCUCCUUUCCAACAAAUUUAACGAUUUAGAUUAACUUUAAGAGCACUAUUUGGAUAAUAAUUUCUAUAUAACUUUUAUUGUGGAUAUUAACAAUAAAUCAUGGAAUGGACGCGAGAAAGAACACUUACACUUAUUAAUGAAUACCGUAAAAGACGAGGUCUAUGGGAUAUGACACACGAUGAUUAUAGGAAAAAGGAUAUUAAACAGAAUCUUCUGAUAGAAGUGAGUAAUAGUCUUGGUGGAAGCAUAUCCGUUAACGAGAUCGAGAAGAAAUUCCACACUUUGCGUACUCAAUACCAUCGCGAAAUAAAUCGAAUGAAUCGUAAAGAGCCCUACAACUCCAAAUGGUUUGGAUUCAAGAACUUGCAGUUUUUAAGUUCUCCAAUGGCUCGACGGCUCUCGAGAGGACGUAUUAAAAAUGAAAUUACGGAAGAUGGGACAGUGACAUCAAAAUAUAUUAUAAGAGAUCCGAAUACUCAUCACGAUAGCAGUGGAAGUUCUGUGAACUUGAAUAACAAUGUAAAUGAAGAAUUUUUAAUACAUCAAAAGUCUGCUAUUGCGAUAGAGCCCAUAAGCAACUCUAAACAUUACCGUAAUACCAGUCGAUCACGCGCAUUAGAAAAGUUAAUUGAAGAAACUACCAAAGAUAUUGAUGAAGCUGAUGAUAAGCAAAAAAUGACUAUUACAAUGGAGCAGCAAAGUUUUAAUAAUGAAAUGCAAGUUGAAGACCAAAUGAAUAGUCAUAGAAUAAACGCAGAAGGAGAUGAAGAACAAUUGGAAGCUAUUCAAUUACAUGAGGAAGAGGAAGAAAUCACAUAUACAUCUUCGACAGGAGGUGAUGGCUGUGAUAUUUCUCAUAAUCAGCAAACAAUAUCUACGCGUAUUAUAAAAGCUCAACACAAUAAUUCAUGCAAUGACCCAGAUAUUGAAUAUGAAGAUGAAGCUGACCAGACACAUGAGGACAAACGUGUUUUCUAUGGAAGCACCGGACAACAAAAUUCCGUGCCUAUGACGUCCACGCCAUCUGCGAGUACACAUCCAACAAACAUAUUGUUAAAUUCCAAAAUCAAAAUCAGCAGUCAACAAAAGCAAAAUUUGCCAGGACGAAAUCUGGAUAAACCAACCAAUCCGAAUUCUGGACCGCAAGUAUUUCAUACAUCAGGUCAUAUACGCGACGAAUAUACUACUUAUGGCGAAUAUGUAUCUAAUGAAAUGCGCAACAUAACGAAUCGUGAAGUGUUAUUAGGUCUUAAACAUAAAAUAAAUACUGCUCUUUUUGAAGCGCAAAUGGCUGAACUACGGAAUUAAAAAAUUACAAAAAAAGUUACCCUACACAUUCAUAUAUUUAUCUAGUUAUCACUUACGGUUGCAUUCUCCUCAACGUUUUAAAUUUUAAUUGGAUAUUUUUCACAUAAAACGUUAUAUAUAUAUAUAUAUAUAUAGGGCAGCUAAUAGAGUAAAGGAAAGUUUGGUUAAACUGUCAAAAAAAUAUAUUUUUUUGGAAUCAUACAAAAUUUGUAAAACUCAAAGAAUGUAUAAUUACUACAUAUGUAUAUUUGAGCACAAUAAGGAAAUUACUUUUUUUCAUGUGUAUUUUGCAGUGUCUGUCAUUUGCAAAGGUUUAUCAAAAAAUCCCAUGUCAAAUAUAUAUCAAAUACUGAAACUUGAGGAAAUAACAAGCUGAACAUUCCUUUUCAUGGUUGUUCGGUUAUUUAAUUUACUAUUACAUGUAAAACAUUUGCAUCCCAUCAGUUUGGGUAAUU